rnacentral:rRNA from 1 species
GACGAACGUUGGCGGCGUGCUUAACACAUGCAAGUCGAACGGAAAGGCCCUGCUUUUGUGGGGUGCUCGAGUGGCGAACGGGUGAGUAACACGUGAGUAACCUGCCCUUGACUUUGGGAUAACUUCAGGAAACUGGGGCUAAUACCGGAUAGGAGCUCCUGCUGCAUGGUGGGGGUUGGAAAGUUUCGGCGGUUGGGGAUGGACUCGCGGCUUAUCAGCUUGUUGGUGGGGUAGUGGCUUACCAAGGCUUUGACGGGUAGCCGGCCUGAGAGGGUGACCGGCCACAUUGGGACUGAGAUACGGCCCAGACUCCUACGGGAGGCAGCAGUGGGGAAUAUUGCACAAUGGGCGGAAGCCUGAUGCAGCAACGCCGCGUGCGGGAUGACGGCCUUCGGGUUGUAAACCGCUUUCGCCUGUGACGAAGCGUGAGUGACGGUAAUGGGUAAAGAAGCACCGGCUAACUACGUGCCAGCAGCCGCGGUGAUACGUAGGGUGCGAGCGUUGUCCGGAUUUACUGGGCGUAAAGGGCUCGUAGGUGGUUGAUCGCGUCGGAAGUGUAAUCUUGGGGCUUAACCCUGAGCGUGCUUUCGAUACGGGUUGACUUGAGGAAGGUAGGGGAGAAUGGAAUUCCUGGUGGAGCGGUGGAAUGCGCAGAUAUCAGGAGGAACACCAGUGGCGAAGGCGGUUCUCUGGGCCUUUCCUGACGCUGAGGAGCGAAAGCGUGGGGAGCGAACAGGCUUAGAUACCCUGGUAGUCCACGCUGUAAACGGUGGGUACUAGGUGUGGGGUCCAUUCCACGGGUUCCGUGCCGUAGCUAACGCUUUAAGUACCCCGCCUGGGGAGUACGGCUGCAAGGCUAAAACUCAAAGGAAUUGACGGGGCCCCGCACAAGCGGCGGAGCAUGCGGAUUAAUUCGAUGCAACGCGUAGAACCUUACCUGGGUUUGACAUGGAUCGGGAGUGCCCAGAGAUGGGUGUGCCUCUUUUGGGGUCGGUUCACAGGUGGUGCAUGCCUGUCGUCAGCUCGUGUCGUGAGAUGUUGGGUUAAGUCCCGCAACGAGCGCAACCCUUGUUCACUGUUGCCAGCACGUUAUGGUGGGGACUCAGUGGAGACCGCCGGGGUCAACUCGGAGGAAGGUGGGGAUGACGUCAAGUCAUCAUGCCCCUUAUGUCCAGGGCUUCACGCAUGCUACAAUGGCUGGUACAGAGAGUGGCGAGCCUGUGAGGGUGAGCGAAUCUCGGAAAGCCGGUCUCAGUUCGGAUUGGGGUCUGCAACUCGACCUCAUGAAGUCGGAGUCGCUAGUAAUCGCAGAUCAGCAACGCUGCGGUGAAUACGUUCCCGGGGGCU